rnacentral:rRNA from 1 species
UAACGAAGGGGCUAGCGUUGCUCGGAAUCACUGGGCGUAAAGGGUGCGUAGGCGGGUCUUUAAGUCAGGGUGAAAUCCUGGAGCUCAACUCCAGACUGCCUUUGAUACUGAGAUCUUGAGUUCGGGAGAGGUGAGUGGAACUGGCGAGUGUAGAGGUGAAAUUCGAUAGAUAUUAGCAAGAACACCAGUGGCGAAGGCGGCUCACUGGCCCGAUACUGACGCUGACGG